UGGAAAUGUACAUCAUCCUUGGCAUGCAUAUUAUAUUGCAGCUCACUUCUCCAUUCAUGUUUUACACCUAGCUUUUUAUUUGUUUGUGUCAACCACGGCCCUGGUCAUCAUUCGAGACCCGGCCUUUAAUUGACAGCCAGUUUUUGUUUGCCGAAAUGUGGUAUUUAUCAAUAUUGUUUUUCCUUUUAUGCCAUUGUUUUGCAGCUAUAAGAGAGGACUGGUAAUACAUUGCUGGCAAAGCCAUUGCUGUGAGCUUGGUACAUGGCGGUCCACCACCAAACUUCCUCUCUCAGACAUAGCUGACACAGAACUCUUGGAAAAAGUCAAAAAGAUUCUGUGAAGGACUGAAAACUCUUUGGGUUCAGGACCAAAUACGACGACAUCCAGACAGCUUUCGACCCCUGUUCUGCUAUGAGCUGUGGAUGAUCUUUUCAGCAUUCGUCUCUCUCCAGAAGGGAGCAACAAGAGAGCUGCUGACGAGAUGGUCGUUACUUUCUGGAGGGACUAUCUCCAAAAUGCAGAGGAAGAAGAAGGGCCAUCCAAACUAGAGAAGAUAUUGGCCUUC